rnacentral:rRNA from 1 species
AGUGAACGCUGGCGGUAGGCCUAACACAUGCAAGUCGAACGGCAGCACAGUAAGAGCUUGCUCUUACGGGUGGCGAGUGGCGGACGGGUGAGGAAUACAUCGGAAUCUACUUUUUCGUGGGGGAUAACGUAGGGAAACUUACGCUAAUACCGCAUACGACCUACGGGUGAAAGCAGGGGAUCUUCGGACCUUGCGCGAUUGAAUGAGCCGAUGUCGGAUUAGCUAGUUGGCGGGGUAAAGGCCCACCAAGGCGACGAUCCGUAGCUGGUCUGAGAGGAGGAUCACCGACACUGGAACUGAGCCGCCGUACUGAGACCUACGGGAGGCAGAGGUGGGGAAUAUUGGACGAUGGGCGGAAGACUGCUCCAGCCAUACCGGGUGGGUGAAGAAGGGCUGUGGGUUGUAAAGCCCUUUUGUUGGGGAAGAAAGGCUGCAGGUUAAUCGCAGGCUGUUCUGACGGUAGCCGAUAAAUAAGCACCGGCUAACUUCGUG